rnacentral:rRNA from 1 species
AGAGUUUGAUCCUGGCUCAGGACGAACGCUGGCGGCGUGCUUAACACAUGCAAGUCGAACGGGGUCCAGUCUGUAGCAAUACAGAGGAAGACCUAGUGGCGAACGGGUGAGGAACACGUGAGAAAUCUGUCCCGAACUCUGGGAUAACAGUUGGAAACGACUGCUAAUACCGGAUGCCGUCACCAGAUCGCAUGAUCAGGUGACGAAAGUUUUUCGGUUCGGGAGGAUCUCGCGGCCUAUCAGCUUGUUGGUGGGGUAACGGCCUACCAAGGCUUCGACGGGUAGCUGGUCUGAGAGGAUGAUCAGCCACACUGGGACUGAGACACGGCCCAGACUCCUACGGGAGGCAGCAGUGGGGAAUAUUGGUCAAUGGGAGCAAUCCUGAACCAGCAAUGCCGCGUGUGGGAUGACAGGGCUUCGCCUUGUAAACCACUGUCGGAUGGGACGAGAAGAGGUAAGAACCUCUGGGACGGUACCGUCAAAGGAAGGAUCGGCUAACUACGUGCCAGCAGCCGCGGUAA